CAAUUGGGUUGAGGUCAGGGGAUUGUGGAGGCCAGGGGCCUCAUGUAUCAAUCUUGCGUACGCACGAAAACACGGCGUACGCCAGCUUUCACGUUCACGGUCAGAUGUACUAACAGUGAAAUUAACGUAAGAAUGUGCGUUCUUCCACGUAAACUUCAGGCCUGGCGUACGUACAUUUUUGUGAUGUUUGUCCGUUGGCGACUCAUAGAGGCAAUAAAGUGAAGUGGCAAACAUUA